UACGUAGGGUGCAAGCGUUGUCCGGAAUCAUUGGGCGUAAAGAGCUCGUAGGCGGUCUGUUGCGUCGACUGUGAAAACCCGGGGCUCAACCCCGGGCCUGCAGUCGAUACGGGCAGACUAGAGUUCGGUAGGGGAGACUGGAAUUCCUGGUGUAGCGGUGAAAUGCGCAGAUAUCAGGAGGAACACCAAUGGCGAAGGCAGCUCGCUGGGACGGUACUGACGCUGAGGCGCGAAAGCGUGGGGAGCAAACAGG
rnacentral:rRNA from 1 species